rnacentral:misc_RNA from 1 species
AACCUCUAACAGAAGAUAUGAACAAAGAUAUGGAAAGAUGGGAAUCAGUUAAAGCUGCAUUGGUAGCAUCGACAGUCGGGACACUUGCCAGCUUACCCAUUUCUCUGUAUCAAACGAGCAGCUCCACCCAGUUGCUUCUUCACUCGAUAAUCAUUUCUAUUAGCUGUGCUCUCUUUGGUGUCACCUUCCGUUACACGAUAAGAAGAGAUCUAGAUAAUGCUCAACUCAAAACCGGAUCACCUGCAG